GUUAUUAAAUAAAGAAUAUCUCAAAGAAUUUAAUGCUAUUGAAGGAGAUUAUGAUAAACCGAAUGCUGCCGAUUGCAAGCAUUUUCUAUUAAAUGUUCUUGGAUUUUUAAAUGAUUUCGACGAUCCAAACGUGAUUUAUAGAGGUAAU